rnacentral:rRNA from 1 species
UACGUAGGGCGCAAGCGUUAUCCGGAAUUAUUGGGCGUAAAGAGCUCGUAGGCGGUUUGUUGCGUCUGCCGUGAAAGUCCGGGGCUCAACUCCGGAUCUGCGGUGGGUACGGGCAGACUAGAGUGCAGUAGGGGAGACUGGAAUUCCUGGUGUAGCGGUGAAAUGCGCAGAUAUCAGGAGGAACACCGGUGGCGAAGGCGGGUCUCUGGGCCGAUACUGACGCUGAGGAGCGAAAGCAUGGGGAGCGAACAGG